rnacentral:rRNA from 1 species
GAUCAUGGCUCAGGAUGAACGCUAGCUACAGGCUUAACACAUGCAAGUCGAGGGGCAGCAUAUCGAAAGCUUGCUUUGAUGAUGGCGACCGGCGCACGGGUGAGUAACGCGUAUCCAACCUUCCCUAUACUAGAGGAUAGCCCGGCGAAAGUCGGAUUAAUACUCUAUGUUGUAUUUCGAGGACAUCUGAAUAAUACCAAAGGUUUACCGGCAUAGGAUGGGGAUGCGUCUGAUUAGGUUGUUGGCGGGGUAACGGCCCACCAAGCCCACGAUCAGUAGGGGUUCUGAGAGGAAGGUCCCCCACAUUGGAACUGAGACACGGUCCAAACUCCUACGGGAGGCAGCAGUGAGGAAUAUUGGUCAAUGGACGAGAGUCUGAACCAGCCAAGUAGCGUGCCAGGAUGACGGCCCUAUGGGUUGUAAACUGCUUUUAUACAGGGAUAAAGUUCACUACGUGUAGUGUUUUGUAGGUACUGUAUGAAUAAGGACCGGCUAAUUCCGUGCCAGCAGCAGC